UACUGGUGUUACUGGUGGUGUUACUGGUGUUACUGGUGGGGGGAUGGAGGCGGCGCCCCCCCCGCGGCCGCAGCGGCCGCAGCUGCAGUGUAAGAACCUCCACGAGUUCCUGCGGGGACUGUCCCCCCCCCUCCUCGACCGCCUCUACGGGCACCCCGCAACCUGCCUGGCCGUCUUCAGGGAGCUGCCGGGCCUGGCGCAGGCGGCCGUGAUGCGGAUGCUGUUCCUGGAGCAGCCGGUGCCGCAGGCUGCCAUCGCCCUCUGGGUCAAGAAGGAGCACAGCAAGGCACAGGAGGAGAGUCGGGAGGUGCUGUUGGCGCUGCGGCUGUGGCACCCCCAGACCCUGCCAGGGGGGCUCCCCGGCGUCACCCUGAACCCCAACUUCCGACAGAACCUGCGCAUCGCCCUCCUGGGGGGGGGCAAAGCGUGGUCGGACGAUACGAGUCAAUUGGGACCCGACAAACACGCCCGCGACGUCCCCGCCUUGGAUAAAUACGCCGAGGAGCGCUGGGAGGUGAUUUUACACUUCAUGGUGGGGUCCCCGAGCGCCGCCGUCAGCCAAGAUCUCGCGCAGCUCCUGGUGCAGGCGGGGCUGAUGAAGAGCGAAGGGGGGGAGGCUCCGUGUAUCACCUCCGCCGGGUUCCAGUUCCUCCUCCUCGACACUCCGGCGCAGCUCUGGUAUUUCAUCCUCCAAUACCUCCGAGGGGCUGAGACUCGAGGGAUGGAUUUGGUGGAGAUUCUCUCUUUCCUCUUUCAACUCAGCUUUUCUACUUUGGGAAAGGAUUACUCGGUGGAGGGGAUGAGUGAGUCUCUGCUCACGUUCCUGCAGCACCUGCGCGAGUUCGGGCUCGUCUUCCAGCGCAAGCGCAAGUCGCGGCGGUUCUACCCGACGCGCUUGGCCAUCGCUCUCGCCUCGGGGACAUCGGGGACCCCCCCCGAGCCGGACGCUCACGGCUUCGUCGUCGUCGAAACCAAUUACCGCAUCUACGCCUACACAGACUCGGAGCUGCAGAUCGCGCUCAUCGCUCUCUUCUCGGAGCUGCUCUAUCGGUUCCCCAAUCUGGUGGUGGCGCAGGUGACGCGCGACAGCGUUCAGGCGGCCAUCGCCAACGGCAUCACCGCCGACCAGAUCAUCCACUUCCUCCGCACGCGGGCGCACCCCGUCAUGGCCAAGCAGAUCCCGGCGCUGCCCCCGACCAUCACCGACCAAAUCCGCCUCUGGGAGUUGGAGAGGGACCGCCUGCGCUUCUCCGACGGGGUGCUGUACAACCAGUUCCUGUCGCAGGUGGACUUCGAGGUGCUGCGGGACCACGCGCGGGCGCUCGGCGUUCUGCUCUUCGAGAGCCCCUCGCGCCGCCUGAUGGUGGUCACGCCCGGAGGUCACCCCGAGGUCAAACGCUUCUGGAAGAGGCAGAAACACAGCGCCUGAGGCCACCAAACCGCGGCAUCCAACCACCGCUGGGUUCCAUCAACCCCAUCCUCGGGUUCCAUCAACCCCAUCCUCGGGUUCCAUCAACCCCAUCCAUGGGUUCCAUCAACCCCAUCUGUGAGUUCCCUCAACCCCAUCCUCGGGUUCCCUCAACCCCAUCC